ACCACAUAUUUUUUUUUAUUAUUAUUAUUUUCUUACUUUUUUUUUAUUGCAUAUUUAUUUCCAUCUUUCUUUCAUUUCAGGUGUCAGGUUACUGUGCAAGAGUGGUAUGAUUGACCUCAACACAAGUAUUAAGGCAAAAGGGAAUCAACUUUGUUUGAGGCCAGAUACAUGGAACGGUUCCACCAGUUAUUUGUUAUCCCACCCCGGCACACAACAGAAUGAAGGCGGCACUUUGAGCAGUCGCCGUCGUAACACAUGAUAGUGGACUCUAGGACUUUUGCACUAACUUGGUUAGAAAGAGUCUGCAUGCCACUGCGAGAGGGCGGUGGAAUAUCCAAAUCUGUCAACAGCAGCCGAGCUCUGGUGUUUCCAACCGGCAUGUCUAACAGUCCAGAUUGUAGGGUCAGAUUAAUAGCGGCUGCCUUUCUUCCUGGUUUGCCAGUUGGAAUCUCUUUAUACAACUUGUAGACAGGUCUACAUCUCAAAACCCGAUGACUUCCCGGACUGGCAUUAGUAGAAAGAUGAUGCAUAUGAAUUUCAUCCCUGAUCCGUGUGACACCUGUGGAAGUUGAGGGCAAAUCAUAAUCAGUUUGGGUUCCAGCCGAGGACCCCUGUAAACGUUGCUGUUUAGUGUUGACUUCAUGUCCGAGCUUGAAAAAGACAGCCUUGCGUUUAUUAUGGCCUCUCAUAUUGGAAGAUAACAUAAAUGGCUUGUAUGUUGACUGUUGUGCAUAUCUCUGGGUCAGGAAAGUUGUAGGUACCAUCAACAUUGUAAAUCAUUUGACAGACCAGAAUGGAGAGUGAGAACUAUGAUUGGUCAGUCAUGUAUCAGAUUCCAUACUAGGGGGUGGGGAUCAUAAAACUGUUGUAGUGUUACAUAAUCAGAUUAUCUGAACUUAAUUGUCCUAUGUAAAUACAGCUAUGUAGGAGACAUUUUAAAAUUUAUAGGCACUGCAUGUUUCAACAUCUUAGAUUUGACCACAAUUUUGCUCUUGAAACUGCGUUAAGAGAGAAAAACUAAGAUCUUUUCGACGAAAAUGUUAAAAAAAUCUAAUAUUACAUGAUAAUUACUGUUUUAAAGGAUUUUCUUGUUUGAUUUAUAUUGAAUUUUUGUUAUCUUUUUACAGAAUGCAUUUAUGUUCAAAAAUAAAAAUGUUCUGUUUAAUUCAAAAUUCAUGUGCUUUUAAAUUUCUGUCUGAAAUUCCGCAGUUUUCUGAUGUAUUAUAGUGUUUGCAGAAUGCUGCAAAGCUCAUCUGAAAAUGCAUAGAUUUUCAUAAUCUUUGGCCAGGGAAUUGCAUAUAUGUUUGUUUAUUAGAUAACAACAGAUUUGUUUAAACUGCAGAAACAUGUGAGGUAUAUAGGACUAAGACUAGUAAUUAUUUCCCUUUAUUUCAUGAUGGACGAAUGUAGUGCGAGUUAUAAAUAGACAAUUUUUCCCUUAAUUUUUUUCUCCCCUCUUCCUGCAUUUUUGGGUUGACUUUUUGGUCUAGAAUUGGAGAAAAGGGAUCAAAUUUGCAAUUUCAUAGCAGUUUUGGGUAAUACUGAUGAUAUUACAGCGGAGGGAUAGGGGGUGUAAAGUGUCUUUCUGCAGAGCAGUCAUUGUGUCGGAAGUGAGAUUUUCACCCCAGUCAACUUCAAAUCCGUGUAGCAAAAAAUCUAAAUGGUCAACCCCCUACAAAAUUAUGAUGAGGAGAUUGCCAAAUGUUGUCCCCAUUGUGCCUAUAAAGAUUGGAACCAACGGAAUGUUGAGAAAAAAGCUACAGCCUGUGAUGUUACAGCCAUUUAACAUUGAAGUCAAUGGGCAAAUAAUUACUAGUCUGAGUCCACUUGUAAAACAUGGUGAUUAUUUAUCUUGAUAACUUAUUUGUUUUUUGAUUAAAUGUUUUUGUUUUAAUAUUUUCAACAAUUCCUUGACCCAUGACUUAAAACAAAUUGAAUUGAGUUGAUCUGAUGAAUUAUGUAGAUUAGUUUAGGUUAAAUCCACUGAUCAUGAUUCUAGAGCCAUAUAAUUCCUUGCAAACUAUAAAAUUGUGAAGUUGAAUCUCUAAAUAGAAAUACAUGUCAAAUAAUGGUUCAGAUCCUUUCAGUAUUUAUAAAGAUAUGUGGAAUUGAAAUUUCAUCGAUUUAUACUGGGCGAAAAGGAUUAGACCAACAUUCUAGCAACGUUUAAACGUUUUCUACUUAUAUAAUAUUAAUUGAUAAUAAUUUUUCAAUGAAGGAUACCAAGUUAUAUUUAUUCCUUUCGUUGUAUUAAGGUCUACUAACAUUAUAUUGUUUUGUAAUGAACGAUACCAAGUUAAUAUUUAUUCCUAUCGUUGAAUAAUGCUAAUGUCUACUAACAUUAUAUUGUUUUGUAAUGAACCAUACCAAGUUAUAUUUAUUCCUUUCGUUGUAUUAAGGUCUACUAACAUUAUAUUGUUUUGUAAUGAACGAUACCAAGUUAAUAUUUAUUCCUUUCGAUGUAUUAGGGUCUACUAACAGUGCAUUAUAAUGUCCAUAUAUUUUGAUUUCUAACAGAAUAAAAUCAAUACGAUUAAAUGUUGGUUUUAAAAAGAAA